GGCCCAGUGGUGUACUGGUAACACAUCCUCUUGACUUGGAAUGACAUUGUCGGUCAGAGGAAGCACCCUGUUCAACUCAGGGCUGGGCCA